AGAACGAACGCUGGCGGCAGGCCUAACACAUGCAAGUCGAGCGCCCGUAGCAAUACGGGAGCGGCAGACGGGAUAGUAACACGUGGGAACGCGCCCUUCGGUUCGGAAUAACUCAGGGAAACUUGAGCUAAUACCGGAUACGCCCUUACGGGGAAAGAUUUAUUGCCGAAGGAACGGCCCGCGUCCGAUUAGCUAGUUGGUGAGGUAAUGGCUCACCAAGGCGACGAUCGGUAGCUGGUCUGAGAGGAUGACCAGCAUCACUGGGACUGAGACACGGCCCAGACUCCUACGGGAGGCAGCAGUGGGGAAUAUUGGACAAUGGGCGCAAGCCUGAUCCAGCCAUGCCGCGUGGAUGAUGAAGGCCUUAGGGUUGUAAAGUCCUUUAACGGGGAAGAUAAUGACGGUACCGUAGAAUAAGCCCGGCUAACUUCGUGCCAGCAGCCGC
rnacentral:rRNA from 1 species